rnacentral:lncRNA from 1 species
UGCAAAUCAAAUAAUCUCAGUACACAGAUUGAGAGAGUCAAUCACAUCGUCCCACCAUUCCAUCCGAUUGAGAGAUUCAAUCAAAACCUCCUCCGCAAAUCCACUUCAAUCCAUCUUUUGAUCAAGUUGAGAGUGAUACACAUCCAGCAGCUUGAUUCCGCCAUAUCUAUCAUUUUUCUUUGUUUAUUUAUCUUAUUUUAUUCUUCAUAGCAUUCGUAUCUCAUUCAUCUUUCAUUUUUUUCAGGUUUUACAAUCGAUUUCAGACCAUAUCGACCAACCGGUCUCAUCUUUGGUUGAUCCGAUUUGAACCUCCAACAACCAUUUGG